rnacentral:tRNA from 1 species
UUGGGUGUAGUAUAGUGGUAGAAUAAGGGAUUGUGGCUCCCUUGGCGGGAGUUCGAUUCUCCCCACCCAUA